rnacentral:rRNA from 1 species
CUACGUGCCAGCAGCCGCGGUAAUACGGAAGGUCCGGGCGUUAUCCGGAUUUAUUGGGUUUAAAGGGAGCGUAGGCCGGAGAUUAAGUGUGUUGUGAAAUGUAGACGCUCAACGUCUGACUUGCAGCGCAUACUGGUUUCCUUGAGUACGCACAACGUUGGCGGAAUUCGUCGUGUAGCGGUGAAAUGCUUAGAUAUGACGAGGAACUCCGAUUGCGAAGGCAGCUGACGGGAGCGCAACUGACGCUUAAGCUCGAAGGUGCGGGUAUCGAACAGGAUUAGAUACCCUGGUAGUCCGCACAGUAAACGAUGGAUGCCCGCUGUUGGUACCUGGUAUCAGCGGCUAAGCGAAAGCAUUAAGCAUCCCACCUGGGGAGUACGCCGGCAACGGUGAAACUCAAAGGAAUUGACGGGGGCCCGCACAAGCGGAGGAACAUGUGGUUUAAUUCGAAGCAACGCGAAGAACCUUACCAGGUCUUGACAUCCCUCUGACCGCUCUAGAGAUAGAGUUUUCCUUCGGGACA